UAAAAAUGACAUUUCCUGUCUAGCUGUUUGGUUUAUGGAAAACUAGUUGGAUAGUUGAAUAUUCGUUUGACUAUAAUAUUUUAGAUUCACUUCGAAUUUCAAUCUUAUAUUACAAAAUAACAUACAUGCGCUAUCAAUAUAAACAGACUGGAGAAUGACUCAGUAAUAUCAAGAUUUAUUGUGGCUGUUCGAUCUUCUGAUGGUUUUAAAUUCAAUACAGGAACUGCAAUAUAGACUUGAGUUUGGAAGUUGAAACCUACAACGCUGGAGAAAAUAGUUUUCUUUGACUGCUUGAUACGCAGUUUAAUUACCAAUUGAUUUCCUAGUCCCAGUGGCUAGUACACUAGUACAAGUUAAUUACCACGAAUUUCAGACAGAAAUCAUUUGCUGUAGAAUGUUGGUUGAUUUUGAGAAAAACUGACAAGCGUUCAUCUGCCGAUAUGAAUAUGACUGCUGUGAAUGUGACCAGUGCAAACCAGUUGAAAAUAUGAAAAAAAUUCUGAGCAACUUUUAUAAAGAAAAUCAAAAUAUUGAAGAUUAUUUUUUUGACAAACUUACUUAGUCAGUUGCCAAAAAAAUGUAAUCGUAAAUGCUUCUUCAAUGACAAAAAUUGAUUUGAGAACACUCACUAGUAACCUUUAAGAUACUAUUGUUGAACAGUAUUUAACAAAAUCUACCAAUGUCACUAAAAAACAAACUAAAACAACUUCAAGGCCAGUUAGUUACAAUAAAUAGGACAACCAGACAAAAUAGUGAUUUUUCAAUUUUGCCUAUACUCUGUUCAACUUAAGAACAUACCACAGCGUCCAGUUUCCAAGCAUGGUUGUGGAUUUGUUCCAAAGAACUGGUCUUACCUGUUGACUUGGUAAGGGAACUAUGGAACAAUAUGUUUGAUGUGCAUGGGAUGUAUCAUUUGAUAAACGGACUGAAAGUGAAUUGCCUCUUAUCAAAUUAAACAUAAAAGGGCUGUUGAAUAUGAAUAGAAGUUUGUUAGUACACAAUUACUUAUAAGUUAUAAGUAUGGACCGGAUUUCAAUGCAGAGGGCAUAUUUUUUGGUGUCAUGAAGAAAAUCUCUGGGCCUUGUUCUCAAUGUACCAAAAUGGCAAAAUGUUUAAUGAGUAAAGAUUGGAAUUAUAUGUUUUGACAGAUCGCUGCUAAGCUGAGAUAAUUAUUUAAAUAAUUACUUACUAAGACUGCAUAAGUCUUAUAAGAUACAAAAAUGUGAAUGAUUUGUUCAAUUCUGAGUUCAAUGUAAAAAGUUUUAUUUUAAUUUUUUUAGAUAUUUUAAGAUUAGAGGUAUUUAUAGUUAUA